CAGAUACAUAUAUUGAACUGAUGCAGCUGGAGAAGCUUGUGAAAAAAGUUACGGAUUUGCCAGAUGACUUGAAGACAAAAAUUAGCUUAAUUCCUUCUCAAGGGGCCCUUCCAAGAGCUUCUGCUGUCUCAAGGAAGAGGUUGCGCUUGUUACUGGUAGACAACAUGAGAUAAUGCUUCAAAUGGACAUACUGAGCAAACUUGUUCACGAGCAUCUUGUAGAAAGGUCACGCAAAGAGAGAGUAGACAGCGACAGAACAAACAGCACAACGCAGAACCUUGGGCCUUCCACUGUACCUGUUUUUCUUGCUUUGGCCAUUGGCUGCAUCGGCAUCCUUGCCUACAAUCUCAAAUAGUUGCUGUAACAGCUAGUUAACUCACUGCUAAAACUCAGGGUCCGUGGAAAAAAAAAUAGUGGAUAAUGAUGAUGUAAAUAACAGAGUUUGUGUGAUACACACUGGAUAAUUCAGUCUUGACGAUGUAUAU